AAUGCCUAACGCCAGGAGGGAGAGACAAAGGGGCCUCUUCUUUAACACUGUGAAUAGCCCCAGAGUGAAUACAGCCUUCGACAGCUGUGGUUUCAUUCUCAUCACCGCUGGGCGAGUUGGGGGUGCUAAUUGUGAAGCUGGAGAGCUGUUAAAAUCAGACCAGAUUUGUUAAAGGAGAGGAGUAAGAUGAUACUUCAGACCAGUAUCUGCAGUGGCACAGGCACAAAAGCCCUAUCUCAGGAGAAGGAAUGAAAGGAAGGCAAAAAGGCCGUGAGAAAAUGAAAGAAGCUGGUUGAUUGACCCCUCCUCUGUGUCGCCUCAGCAACUUGUCCAUAUCAUUGUUACAGCACUUACCACACAGUUGUAAGACGGUACUGCAAGCUUACUUUCCAACGUGGCUGCAUCGUUUCACAUUCCCACCAGCAGUAUGAGGUUUCCAAUUUCUCUGCAUCCUCAUCAAAACUUGUUAUUAUCUGUCUUUUUUAUUUUAGA
rnacentral:lncRNA from 10 species